AGCUCCAGACUCAGAAACUGUGAUCUGACAACAAUAAUGAUCUCUGGAAAGCAGAAAGUUGUUGAUGCUGACUUCUUGAAAAUUUCAUAUGUCCUUAGGCUUUGCCUUGAGGCUGGGCACUUGACAAGAUGAGGCAUUUCAACAACAAUCUCAGCCCCUUGUGAAACAAGGUUUCUCUCAGUAUGACGCAAAUCUUAGCCUCUUCAUCAGCACUUGUAAAACAGUUGACUCAUACACCUGACUCUUCCUAUGCUUGCUCCUCAUAUAAGAUCACAAGUUUUAUUCUCCCAAAUAAAGAUCAAAGUAAAACAAAA